GUAGGGUGCAAGCGUUAAUCGGAAUUACUGGGCGUAAAGCGUGCGCAGGCGGUUUUGUAAGUCUGACGUGAAAUCCCCGGGGGCUUAACCUGGGGAAUUGCGUUGGAGACUGCAAGGCUGGAGUCUGGCAGAGGGGGUAGAAUUCCACGUGUAGCAGUGAAAUGCGUAGAGAUGUGGAGGAACGCCGAUGGCGAAGGCACGCCCCCUGGGUCAAGACUGACGCUCAUGCACGAAAGCGUGGGGAGCAAACAGGAUUAGAUACCCUGGUAGUCCACGCCCUAAACGAUGUCUACUAGUUGUCGGGUCUUAAUUGACUUGGUAACGCAGCUAACGCGUGAAGUAGACCGCCUGGGGAGUACGGUCGCAAAGAUUAA
rnacentral:rRNA from 1 species